rnacentral:rRNA from 1 species
UAGGGAAUCUUCCACAAUGGACGCAAGUCUGAUGGAGCAACGCCGCGUGAGUGAAGAAGGUUUUCGGAUCGUAAAGCUCUGUUGUUGGUGAAGAAGGAUAGAGGCAGUAACUGGUCUUUAUUUGACGGUAAUCAACCAGAAAGUCACGGCUAACUACGUGCCAGCAGCCGCGGUAAUACGUAGGUGGCAAGCGUUGUCCGGAUUUAUUGGGCGUAAAGCGAGCGCAGGCGGAAUGAUAAGUCUGAUGUGAAAGCCCACGGCUCAACCGUGGAACUGCAUCGGAAACUGUCAUUCUUGAGGGCAGAAGAGGAGAGUGGAAUUCCAUGUGUAGCGGUGGAAUGCGUAGAUAUAUGGAAGAACACCAGUGGCGAAGGCGGCUCUCUAGUCUGCAACUGACGCUGAGGCUCGAAAGCAUGGGUAGCGAACAAG